UUGGAAGUACUGGCACCCUCAUGCUAUCCAUGCUAGCUUUAGGAUCCAUCACACUUUCCUGCAAACUCUGAUAUGUAUGUAUUAAAUGGUAAAAAGGAUUCUCUUAAACAUGUUAAGGGCUGGGGCUGGAAUUCAACUGCAUGAACCAUGGAAAUCAAUGCAUCUGCUCUUGUUGAAUGUGAGUGGGUUAUGAUAUUAAACAACAAUGUUCGAGAUCAUCUCAUGCUGGUCUGAUAGAGUUGCAGAGGAUGGACACUCGCUUGGCACGUAUCGAGGAUCAUUUAAGCAUUACUCCACCUCAGGGUGGAGCUGCAGAUGAAGAUGACGAUUGAAGCUGCACCAUUAGGAUCACUAUAUUAUUUGUGCAUGGAUUUGCUUGCAUUUUGUUCUUAAUCUGUGGAAUGUUGGAUGUUUAACUUGA